CUUGGGCCUGGCUAAGGUGCAGGAACUCAUGGGAAUGAGGUUCGUGGCCAAGGCUGCCCUGCCCUUCACGGUGCCUGCUCAGGGAAGACAACAGGUUUGUCCUGGGUCCUGCUGUGUGAGCAAACAAGACUAAGAUCCUCACCCCAGCACAGCCGUCACUGGACUGCAGCAGAAGUAACCUGAACCUCAGUUAAGUCCCGCAGUGCUAUUCUGCUUUCCACAUUUGCCCUGCAGCCAUUCUCUGUCCACCCGGGAUGACCUUCUCCAUCCUCGUCCUUGAUGUCAUCACCAAGGGCUUUGUGCUGCUGCUGCCCAGUCUUCUCAGCUUUCAGUUACACAAGCAAGAGACACCCCAAUCUUGACGAUGCCUGUCACUGCUUUGCUGCAGACAUGUCCGUCCUGCUUUACUCCGCACACACUGCAGUGCUGCCCCUUCUCCUUCCUGCACCCAAAAUGCGCAUCUAGUUUCCCUUGUGUCAGAUCUUUCAGGCUUUUGACUUUAUCUACUUCCCUACCCAGCCUGGACCCUACUGGCAACAACUUCAGCCAGUUCUC